GAUGAACGCUAGCUACAGGCUUAACACAUGCAAGUCGCGGGGCAGCAUGGGGGUUGCUUGCAAUCCCCGAUGGCGACCGGCGCACGGGUGAGUAACGCGUAUCCAACCUGCCCUUCACCACGGGAUAACCCGGCGAAAGUCGGACUAAUACCGUAUGUUGUCCAUUGACGGCAUCCGAUUUGGACGAAAGGUUUGGCGGUGAAGGAUGGGGAUGCGUCCGAUUGGCUGGACGGCGGGGUGACGGCCCACCGGGGCGACGAUCGGUAGGGGUUCUGAGAGGAAGGUCCCCCACACUGGAACGGAGACACGGUCCAGACGCCUACGGGAGGCAGCAGUGAGGAAUAUUGGUCAAUGGGCGUAAGCCUGAACCAGCCAAGUAGCGUGCAGGAUGACGGCCCUAUGGGUUGUAAACUGCUUUUAUGCGGGGAUAAAGUGGCCCACGUGUGGGUUUUUGCAGGUACCGCAUGAAUAAGGACCGGCUAAUUCCGUG
rnacentral:rRNA from 1 species